rnacentral:rRNA from 1 species
AUUGAACGCUGGCGGCAGGCCUAACACAUGCAAGUCGAGCGGAUGAAGGGAGUUUGCUCCUGGAUUCAGCGGCGGACGGGUGAGUAAUGCCUAGGAAUCUGCCUGGUAGUGGGGGAUAACGUCCGGAAACGGGCGCUAAUACCGCAUACGUCCUGAGGGAGAAAGUGGGGGAUCUUCGGACCUCACGCUAUCAGAUGAGCCUAGGUCGGAUUAGCUAGUUGGUUGGGUAAAGGCCUACCAAGGCGACGAUCCGGAACUGGUCUGAGAGGAUGAUCAGUCACACUGGAACUGAGACACGGUCCAGACUCCUACGAGAGGCAGCAGUGGGGAAUAUUGGACAAUGGGCGAAAGCCUGAUCCAGCCAUGCCGCGUGUGUGAAGAAGGUCUUCGGAUUGUAAAGCACUUUAAGUUGGGAGGAAGGGCAGUAAGUUAAUACCUUGCUGUUUUGACGUUACCAACAGAAUAAGCACCGGCUAACUUCGUG